rnacentral:rRNA from 1 species
GCGUAGGGUACGUAGGCGGAUAGUUUAAAAUACAGUAAAAGACUGAGGUUGACCCUCUUUAAUCUGUGUUCACUGGCUAUCUUGAGUUCUAGGGAUGAUCUUUGAAUUCCUUAAGACAAGGGUUAAAUUGCUGAUAUUGGAAGACAUUCGUAUGCGAAAGCGAUAAUCAACCUAGAUCUGACGUUAGGUACUAAAGUAUGGGUAUGAAAAGGAUUAGAGACCUUGUAGUCCAUACCUUAAACAAUGAGUGUUCAACAUCUGUCAGCCAUUCAAUUUGAAAAAAAUAGAACGGAGCUUUCAGUGAUUUACAGCUAACGCGUGAAACACCGCCUGGGGAAUGUGGCCGCAAGGUUAAACUCAAAGGAAUUGAGGAGGCUUGUACAAGG